rnacentral:tRNA from 1 species
AACUAAAAGUAGUUUAGUUAAAACAAAAGCCUUGGAAGCUUUAGAAUUACCGCGUAACUUUUUGA